rnacentral:pre_miRNA from 1 species
UGCUGCUGCUAUUGAUGAUGGUGAUGAUGAUGAUGAUGAUGAAGAUGACGUAUCCGAUGCAUUUUUUGAAAUGUGUCUGUCAUCGCCGUCGGCUUGGCAACUGUCGUAUUCAUCAUCAUCAUCAUCAACAUCAUCAUCAUCAUCAUCU